GGGUCAGAUACCCUGUCUCUGUGAGACUUUAUAUUCUCCAGUGCAUUUCAGCAGCUGCUUGCACCUGGCUGGGCUGACGGUGCAAAGGAAGGCUCUCCAGCCGCAGUCUCCUGGAGCAUCGUAUGGAAUUCAGCCCCAGCUCUGAGGAAGCUCCAGUGUUGGCCCUGGAAAACCCCAGUGAAGGAGGAUGGUCCUGUUUGCAGCCUCUCAGGUCCACCGUUGUAGAUGGCCCUAGAGGGGUCCACCCACAGAAGGGGGAUGAUGCCAAAGCUACACAUGAAGUCCUGCUCCAAUGCCCAUUCUCUGUAUGAUCUUUAGGUAAGUUCUUAAAGCCUCAGUUUCCUCAUCUGUGAAAUGGAAGUAAAACAAGAACCUGCCUUAUGGCACUAUUGCUGGAUUAUAUGAGGUACCUUGCAGUAGGCAGUUAGCGGAGCUGACAUAGUAUAAGCACUCAGUAAUUACUAUCUAUAACAGGUCCGUGGUCUGUUAUCUGAUUCUGAAGUCAGAAAAGCUCUGAAAAUUGUAUAUGUGGUGUCAAAACUCAUUUGGAAGCGAAGCCUCUCCUGAAGUGAUGCAUAGCUAUAUUUAGAAACGCUAAUGAGGUAUUGCUGUGGAGCCGCUGGGGCUGUUACAUGAUGCAUUGUACACGCGUCACAUUGCCCAUCUAAAGUCUGAAACACUCUGAAUCCUGAAACACACCUGGUUCCCAGGGUUUAGGAUAAGGGAUUGUGAACCUGGAUUACUUAUAAGUGCAGAGUCAGUAUGUCCUCUGACUUUCAAUAGCAGUGACUGUCAGCCCUGGAACUCUGAGAGCCAAAAUCCUGAAAGGAAUGGAAAUAACUCUUUUCUCCUAGAAGGAAUUAGAGAUUGAUAUUUAAGAACAGAAAGCACGAGAAGUCACGAAGUCAGAUGAAACAAUAUAUUUCUUGCUUCUUUGCUCUUGUGAUCAUUAGAGAGCUUCUGUAGGGAGAUGGUCCUAGAUGAGGAAUUAUCUUUUAAGACCAUUUCAGUUCCCAGAUCCCAGGGUGUCAUGGUUGCUUCUUGUUUGUUCAGCAUCCUGCUAGGGAGGCCUGGGGAAAGGAGAGCAGACCAGUUGUGUCCUCUCAAGGAAUCUAUGCUUUCACUGAGGUUAAAAAAUACGUGCUCUUGAAACAGGGAGUAGUACGUUAGAAGGUUAAAGUAGAUCAGAAUAUAUUAAAAGAUGAAGAGAUCAAUGCUUAAGUGAAUAACGGAGAUAGUAUGUACUGUAGGACUUCAGGAAAAGGGGCUCCAAGGUGUGGGAGCUAAUUAAGGGUAAGUUAAUUCUUAGAGAGAAAAGCCCAAGGAAGGGGUAGGAAAGGAGAGGAGUGGAAGGGAAAGCAGGGGCUUUGGAACUCAAGUCGACACUCCACAGGUAGCCGCUAUGUGGCUUCAGCAAUUUGGCUAAACGUUCUCAGUCUUUGUUUCCUCCCCUCUAAUGUGGAGCGGGUUCUAUCUCUCUCCAGCUACAAAUACUAUAAAUAUUAGAUAAAAUACUGUAUGUAAAGUGUUACCAGAACACCCCUUCUUCUUUUGGUGGCUCUUCCCUGCAAUUUGGCUCUCAGAAUCUUAGCUCUCAUUUGCUCCAUGAUUGCCUAUGUUUGAUAAAGGCAUAUAAACCAGGAGUACCCAAGCAACCAACCAAGCCGUUCAGUCAAGACCUCAAACAAAUGUCCCCCUACCCCCACUGCAGCAUUUGACAACUCUCUCCUGUGCAGCCCCUCCAAUCACUGUAGUCACACCGCAUCCUCUGUCCAGCAGUGGCCUUUGAAAGCCUGCCGGUCCAUGGAACUUUGCCCUCAAGUCAGAGAUGUUUGUUCUCAGGAGAUCUCAUUUUAUCUUCUUAGGACCUCUUGGCCUGUUAACGCACAGCACCACCCCAUGAGAAAGUUCCCAAUAGGUGGCGAUUGCCCUCAUAUCUUGACUCCAGUGUCAUUGUCCAGUUUCAGUAAGUCAUAAAAAUACCCAAACCAUAUAAAUCGUACCUAUCAACUAGGGGAGAGGUCAAAGGAAAUGUAAAAACAAAGGAGAGUAGAGGUUCAUGGUCAAAAUGCAGGGGGAGAGAAGGCUGCACCAGAUCUAAUGCAGAAGGAAAGGGGAAGAAAUAGUUGCCAGAGCAGAGUUGACACCAGAGCCCACCACACAGAAGCAGGGGGCUCAGGAAGACUGUCUCAGUUCUGAGGGGAUGUGUCUGCACCCCAAUAUUGACAUCGGGUAGAGCUAGUACAAAGAGGGCUAUGGUUGAAUGAAACUCUUAGUGGUACGGCAUCAGUGGUUCGGUAGUACUGCCCUCAUCCCACCUGUAUGGAGGAAGAAAGGUCCAUGAGGAUCCUUUCUCCUGUGGGGGCUGGUCUGGAGGAGCCCAAGGGCCUCAGGGACCAGUGACAGCAGGGAGAGCAGCCUGCCUAAAGCAGACGGGAUGCUUGGCAGUUUAGAUGCAGAGACUGGGGGAUUUUGAACACCAGACUGAGCCUUCAUCUGCAGCUACUGGGUGCCUGGGCAUUGUUGAGAGAACCAACAUGGUGAUUAAAAAUGGGGUAAAGGGUACUCUGUGAUGGCAGGUGAGUGUGAAUGUUUCAGCAAGGAAGGGAAAGUAGACAUGGAGACGAACAGGAAUAAAAGGGAAGGGAUGGGUCCUGCUGAUAUUUUU
ensembl:lncRNA